UUGGGGUUCGCAUCCUACUCACCAGCUGGUCCUGAGGCUGCAUCUGCCUCUCCAGGGUCUUAGAUACAUGACGGCACUGUUGUCUUCCUGAAAACCUCUUCAUCCUGCAGAAGGUGCAACUCCACAGCAUCCUGAGAGGUUGGACAUAAGCUGCUGGGAGCACAAAGGAACCCUGCCUGCCAGGCUUGAGUGUCAGAAUCUGGGCUUUCACCUGCAGGGACCUCAGGCCUCCAUCAGCCAGGCUUGGAAAGAAUGAAUGGUGCCUCUCGGUGAAUUCCUACAACCUGAAUCCUGUGACCCCACCUGUGAUGGCCCAAUGUUAUUGAAAUUACUGACUCCAUCCACUUAGCAAGUGGUAAAUACUCUGCAGGCAUAGAUUUGACUAAUGUGUUCUGUUCAGCGCCUGUUUCAACAGAUCUCAGCUGCAGGUUGCUUUCACCCCUGAAGGGACACAAUAGACCGUUAUCUGGUUACCACGGGGUACCUCGACAGUUCUGCCACCAUAGACAAUCUUUGGAGGCAGGAUUUGAACUGCAUCUGACAUUCUCUAGGAGUACAGGUGUAACAUCACCCUGAAGACACCCUUCUUUCAGCAAAUUCAUUUGACACACUCAGGACAUGACUCACAAAGAACUCAUAGAAAAGGAUGGGGUUUGUGUUUCCACACGGAUGUGGGAUUAAACUAAAACAAAAAAGGAUGGGCCACUGCCCCAGGCAUAGUACAGGGAUCCGCACCAAUUUCUGGCCAUUAUCUGGUCAGUCGAGGGAUGCUCCAUCCCU
rnacentral:antisense_RNA from 1 species